rnacentral:misc_RNA from 1 species
GACCAAGGCGGACCAAGGAGAACCGAGGGCACGCGAGCCGA